rnacentral:lncRNA from 1 species
GGCUGGGGGAGGUGAGGCAAGUUGAAUGGAAUCAACGGCGAUCCCAUUGCAUGGAGAUGGGGGCUUUAGAUCUGCUCUGCCUUUACCAGCAGCGCCCAGACAGUGAUACCUUUGUGCCUCAGGGUUCCCACCUGUGAAAUGGAUAGAUGUCUGUCUUGAAUGAUGUAGGUCCAUUUGGAGGCACGUGAGAAGCUGCGAGUGCCUGCAAAAACCUUCUCAACCCAAGAUUCUACCCAGGAAAGGCCAUGGCUUGAGAAUGUCUAAGAAGUGGUGAGAAACAGCUCCUGGAAAGAAGGUCCCCCUGAGAAUGUGCUCAAGCCCAUGAUGGUGAUGACUCAGAAAGCAGGCGCUCAGAACACUCAUAAAGGCCGAUGUGCAGCUUCCUAGACCCAGGCAGGAGGUGAGCCUCAUGGCCUCCUCCUCCCGCCUGCCCCGUGAACUCUUAAACCUGGAGAUGUGCUGAGCCAGGAGCCAAUGGAAUGAACAUGGUUUCCACCGAGUAAAAUUAUCAGCGUGUUAACAGCUGCCCCCCAAACAGCUGGGGAUGCAUUCCCGCCCUGCACAUGCAGACAGCAGCAACAUUUGCUCAACCUGGGAGCUUCAGAGACAGGCAUGAAACUAAAUCUUCCAAAUCCAUUGAGGUGAGCCCAGAUGCACCAACCCAGAGGAUCCAAGGGCUCAGCCUUUUCCAGGCCAUUCCCGGGGCCCUCUGCUCACUCCCCUCCUUCCUCCAUCUCCUUCCUCCCCAUUCUUCAUGCCUCCCUCUCACCCUGCCCUGUGUGUCUGUGUCUUAUGAAUGCCUACGCAUCUGAUGCUCCCUAGGAAGCCCCUCACCAUGCAUACUCCUCCUCAGUGCCCCCUGCCCUAAGCAUCAGGCUUUCUUGACCGUCUAACACUGCACCUGUGCAAGUCCCACCCUGGCCUCUCUGGGGACAGUGAUGUUCUUUCCUUGCCCCCUGAGCCCCAUCAGUACUCGGGAGCUGGCACACAGGGAGUGCCCUCAAAUGGCUGUGGGACAAGUGAGAGGAAGGUGCUGUGACAGCUUGUUUUCAGCCAGGUGAGUCCCAUGGAGAUCUGAGUCAAGUAUAUUUGCAAGAGUCCCCGGGGGAAAGACUGUGGGUACCCAGUGCAGGACGAAACAUUUUCCUAAAACCCGUAGAAAUUCCUUGCCUACAUUUCUUUGCUUUCCUGAAUGUCUGAGGUCACAUUUGCCUUUCCCAUAUAUCAACGUCCCAGUGGACCCACUGAAAUGGAUGGACAGGCUCAAGGGUCCUGAGAGUUGGGUCCCCAGGCCAGUGGAACCAGCGUCACCUGGAACUGAUGUUGCUAUUAACCCCAUUCUACAGAUGAGAGAGUGAGGCACAGAGAAGGGGAGUACUACAACCAAGAUUACACAGCAGGUGGGGAGACCGAGGCAGAGAUCAUGAGUGAAUCGCCCAAGUUCAUAGAGCUCACCACCGUGCCCCAUCAGGGACUUUGAAGAUGUAUUUAAGAUGAGGUCAUAUUGGAUCACCAUGGACCCUAAAUCCAAUGACUGAAGAGGCAAGGACACAUGUGGAUGGGAGAAGGCCAUGUGAAGUGGAGGCAGAGAUUUGAGUGAUGCAUCUAUAAGCCAAGAAACACCAAGGACUGCCAGCAACCACCAGAAGCUGGAAGAGGCAAGGAAGGAUUCUACCCUACAGAUUUCAGAGGGAGUAUGGCCCUGCCAACACCUUGAUUUUGGACAUCUAGUCUCCAGAACUAUGAGGUAAUAUAUUUCUAUCAUUUUAAGCCAUCCAGUUUGUAGUACUUUAUGGUGGCCACAUUAAUCUAAUGCAGACAGCCUGAAGUCCUCAGGUCACUUAUGAUCUGAGGCCCCUAAUAAAGAUUCCAGAAUAUAAAUAACUUUCAUUCAUUCAUUCAUUCAUCACUCAGAUAUUUCUCCUGUGCCUGCUAUUUGUGGGUCUUUGUUCUAGUAGCUGGGGACAUGGGACAAAACCCACUGCCCUCCUGGAG